UUUUGAUCUCAGGUCAAGNA
rnacentral:rRNA from 1 species